ACGGGGCUUUCACAACGAAGGUCCACGCCCAAUUUUCCAGAAGUUCCACAGUGGUUACACCGGUUAGUCAAGAGGCAUCAAGCAGGAUACAACAGGACCACGAGCACUGUCGGAGAAACAGGAAACCAACCGGAUACAGCUGUCAACGACUGCGCAUGCGUUAAAACAAACGCGCAGUCGAAUCGCUCAUGUAAAUUGUUAAGUGUAAAUUGCGUUAGACGAAGACGUUGACACGUGAAGUGACAACCAGCGGGUGGAGAAAGUCCACACGAGCAUAUCAAGCUCACGGGUGAAUGAUAACAUUCACAUCAGGUUGAGGGGGGCGUUGACACAGACCACCACACUUCACACGAGCUGUCAGUCAACUAUCUUGACAGUUAGCCUUUGACAGUUGAUGGUCUCCGCAGGUGUCUCAGGUGAAGGGAACGCAGUACAUAGAAGAUACUAAAACCCGCUCUCACUCUGAGGACGUGGUAGCCUUCGGUUCCUCCACCUGGUACCUCCGAGCUCUGGGAGCCCCCCAUGUUUCCCCGGAUGUGUGAGUCGGGGGGUGGGCUAGCUGUGUCGGGUUAGCAGCAGCAGCAGCAGCAGCAGGCGGCUCUCCUCCCGAUCACGUCCCGUGACCUAUGUCCGUGACAAGUGUCGUCCGUGUUUCCGGCGGUUCCAUCCUGGCUCCCAGCACUUCCGCUUCGGUGAAGUGUGAUCUGAUGAGCAGCAGCAGCAGCAGCCGCAGCACUGUCAGCUUGUGUCUGUGUUUCCUGGACAUCAGCAGACCUCCUCCCCAAGCACCCUUCAGAGGACACGACACACUUAUUGCAGUGACGAUUCAUCAAGUAACGAUGUCUGCAAUUUCAUUGAUGGGAUCGAAGGCUCCGUAGACAGUGGUACCGGCGGUGGCGUUCACAAACAUCGGAACAUGCCCCUGCAAACAAAAAGCGUUGGGGGGGGAAAUGAGACACUGGCUACAAUUCUGGGCUGAAUUCAAGUUGUUAUGUUCUUUCUCUCCCAGCGAACGUUGACAUGAAAGAGAUGGGCUGAAGCACAUUUCUCAGAUAAUGCACUCUUCCUGCCUGUGCCUAUUGUUGGGGCAUAAUUGCUUUCCAAUUUCUUCCAGUCUGCACAUCAUUUUACCUUUGAAGAACUACUUCCAGGAGAGAGCAGAAGGAAGCAUUAACCUUAGUGAAAUAAUGUUGCUGCUCUGGCACACAUAAGUGUUUUCUCCUCUAAAAGUAAACUCCAGGGCUCAUGUGAGUGUUUCUCCUUGUACGGAGUCACUGGCCGAGGUAAAUAAAUAAGUUAGCUGGGGGACGAUUAUCUGAGUCACUGUGGCUGACACUCACCUUUUGCUUGGCUUCUAUUACUUUGGCUUCCAAAUCAGCAGGAAUGACUCUCCCCCUGGAAAAGAAGAAGGGUGUGCAGUAGAAAGACGUCCACAUAUUUGAGAUUUCACCAGGCUGCGUGCAUGUAGGUCAAGUAUAAAUCAAACCUCUCGUCUGUGUUCAAAAGGAUCAGGUUUUCUGUUCCAAAGCCCAAAGCUGCACUGGCUUUCUUGAUGGAAUAGUGGCUCUGCAAGAAGAGAUGGCGAACUGUCACAACCCAGGUUGAAAUUACGUGUACAAGUGGAAGUUGAAAUAGACAUCUUUUAGGCUUAAACCUGUUAUUAUGAUGUUAAAACUGAUUGCACAGUGUAACGGCAAUAGAAAAAUAACAUCUUCCGUGUUUAUAUUCGUCCUUGACGACUCGAUUUAGGGCACAAAGGAACUGUUAUGGGCACGAAAGUUGUCUGUUGCCUCUUUAAGAUACUGGUAUUAAUUGUCAAACUUAAUGUGAUUGCGAUUAAUGGCAGGAGAACAAUGAAGAUUGAUGAGGAGACAGUGCAGGACUAACAUGCUCUGAGGUGAAGAGGACCAGUCUGGGUGCAGCUGUCAUGCCUUUGGUCUUGACUUCAGGGAAGUACUUGUAUCUGGCAAUCAUCACACUGUACAUGUUGGAGAUCGCUCCUCCUGCAGAAGCAACACAUUUUCUCAAGCACAGUAAUCACGCACAGCUUUGAGGUACUUUAGGUUUUGGUCAAAUUAGCCCCAAAUGUACCAUUUGCAACAUUUAAGUGAUGUAACAAGUGUGAUGGCAUAACUUUAGCUUAUAGCUUAUUUACACAACUUAAGCUUAUUACAACUAACUAGGUGAGAUCUUUACAGUGAAAACAACAAAUUCAGAGCAUUGCUAACAAUAUAUAUUUUUUAUUAUUCGACUUAAUAACAAUGUUUGCUCCGAGUCCUGUUUUAUUACCAUUAUGGGUUCGGCUCUUACCUGGAGAAAAUAUUCCGUCACCCUCUCCCUCAGGCCAACCAAUGAUUUCCCUCAUCUUUUUCAGUGUCAACUGCUCCAUGAGUACAAAGACAGGGGCGAUCUCAUAGGUAAACCUAAAAUAACAAGAAACGAAUCACCAUUUAGUAGAAAAUGCAUGUGAACCCUUUUUUCAUUGCUUUUUGAAAACAAAGCAUAAACUUGAACUCACAAUAGGAACAAUACAUUUUUCUGACAAUAUAAAAAAUCUAAAAACAGUCAUUUUUAAUAUUCUAAUUUCAUAGCAUAGUUACUGCGCAUCCACGUAUCUCUGUAUGAAUCGAGCAUUUUCCCCCGAACUUGGGAAAAUUGUGAUGUAAACCCAGGGAAAAUAUUCAAAAUAUAACAACAGUGUACCUUUAAUGUGAUUAACCAUUAUUAUAAACCAUGGAGCAAGAGCAGAACGGCCUGCUCUUACAAAACAAAGUUAAACCUUGUAAUUGCAGGACUGUGUUUGUUUGUUCCAUGCUUUUUUCCCUCUAAAAGUACAGUAUCAAAUUUUUCUGUACCAUCUAAGUUAAUUAAAGUCCCUUCUGCCUCAGAGAGGAGUUGAUUUGGGAUUUAAAACACAGACAGACUCAUCCAUCUUCUUCUGACCAAUAUGCCUCUAAUUACAAACAGAGAGUGUCUCUCUAGUCAUGCAAAGAGAGAAAAUGAAUCAGUGGAACAUUACAGGAUGUCACAUUGUGCCCCACAGCAUCUUCUACAUAUCAACACAGAGAGUGGUGAUAUCGAGGAGGGGGG